AGAACUUAAACCGCAAACGGAU
rnacentral:snRNA from 1 species